AUGACGGGCCGAGGAGCGCGGGGACUGCUGGGAUGGAGGGCGACAUGGCGGCCGGGCCCGGCGGGCCUGGGGUAGGUCCAGCAGGGUCUGCUGUGGAGGGGAAGGAUCUGGCCUCCCUGGCCACGGUCACGAGUGCAGAAUAAAACGUGAACGGGAUGCACACCUUGAGUAUUAUGUGCAGUUUUGGGCACCCCCUUAUAAGAAAGAUGUAAAGCUUAUUAUCGUCCAGAGGAGGGCAGUGAAGAUGGGGAAGGGCCUGGAGAAGAAACCACACCAGGAGUGCCUGAGGUCACUUGGUCUGUUCAGCCUGGAGAAGUGGAGGCUAAAGGGAGACCUCAAACAGGUCUACAAGUUCCUUGUGAGGAGCAGAGGAGGGGCAGACCCUGAUCUCUGCUCUGUGGGGACCAGUGACAGGACCUGAGGGAAUGGCCUGGAGUUGUGUCAGGGCAGGCUUAGGCUGCAUAUUAGAAAGAGGUUCUUUCUCCAGAGGGUGGUGGGCACUGAAACAGGCUCCCAGGGACAGUGGUCACAGCACCAAGGCUGACAGCUCAAGAAGCGUUAGGACAACACUCAGGCACAUGGUGUGACACUUGGGCAUAGUCCUGUGUAGAGCCAGGAGUUGGACUCAAUGAUCCUUGUGGAUCCUUUCCCACUCAGGGUAUUCUGUUAUUCUGUGAACUGGCUCUGCACAGGAAUGGUCUGGCUGUGCUGGUUGUGCUGAAGGCCUGGUCACCUCCCAGGCUGUGACACCAGACGAGCAGUGCUGGGCGCUCUGCAGUCCCACUUUGUCCAGCACACUAACAAGCUCUCCACAUAGCACAUACUGUUAUUACAGAAUCAGAGAAUCAUUAAGGUUGGAAAGUACCUCCGAGAUCAUGGAGUCCAACCUUCAGCUACAUUGAAACCCUGACAGACACUUCAGUGUGUGACACUGUGCAUACAGUUCACUGCAGAACCUGGAGGUUCUGCAUUUACAACUGAAAGUACACUGGGACAAAAGCUGCUUGUUCAGCCUUACGAUAGACCUGCACAGACAUUAUCAUGAUCUUCCUAUGUUUUUUUUUCCCCCUACUAACUAUGAAGAAUCAGAAGGAAAAAAAACCCAACUGUAAUACUUUUAUGUUGAAAAAUAAAUAUAUUCCUAUGGCUGUGAUUUUUCUGAAUAUGUGUGUAAUGUUUUCCUUAAAUGAGUCGUGGCGAGAUUCUGCACCUACUGGUGAAUUUUCAAAAGCCUUAAAUCAGCAAUGAUUUCAUCUUUCCUCUUGCUUUUAUAUUAUUGUGAUGCAAACCUUGAAUAAUAGUGUUUCUCAAUAUGCUGCAUUUUGCAUUAAAGCUGUGAAAGGCUGUAGCCACAAAAACUUUUCCUUUCUGUUAUUUUUUUAAUGUAGGAGAGACUGAGAGUUGUCUGUAGCAAUCCUUGCGUGCUGUGUUCACCUGCUUGCUGUGAUUUUUACUGUGUGCCUUCACAGUACUGAAGUAAAUGUAAAGAUAUAUGUUUCCACUGGUGGUUUUCAGUUUCUACAGUAUACUGUGUCUUCCUGACCUGAAUAUGGAAGGAAGCCUGAGGGAUUUUAAGACUUCUUUGUGCCUGCAGUACAGAAGCUUCCCAGUUUAAGAGAGAAGAGUCAAAGAAGGAAAUACUGGGAUCUAAAUUUCACAAGCUUCAAAACCUGCAGAAGAUACGGUUUGAAGACAGCCCGGCGCAGAGGUUUCCUGAGCACACAGCGGUUUCAGGCGCAGUAAUGAAGUCUCAGCACAAGAGGGCCCCCAAAGACAGCGUGUCCUGCGGUGCGGAACAGGCGAUGGUCCAAGUUUGGGUCGGGAAUGCCGAGUGUGCCGUGUGUUCAAUGAUGCCUUAGGAUAGCUCAUGCAUUUCACUGUAAUUUGGAAAGAAGGCAUAAUAUUAGCUUCUUAAAUACUGACUCCAUCACUGCAUUAGAACUCAAAAUAUUUCAUAUAACCCAGGAAACAUACUUGAACUGAAUUAAACACCAAGAACUUACAAUGAUUUUUAUUUUUAUUAGUAGUAAAGUUAGACUCUUAUAAAGGAUUAUUUUUAUUAUUGCUUAAUGUAUUUUAAUUUUGAGAACUGUCUUGUAUACUAUGAUCUAGAAUGUUCUUCCAUUACUUUCAUGCACUCAGAAGACCAUCAAACGUUUGUGCAGUACAUGUGUUGAAUCCUGAAGUUCCCUUAUGAACCAUUUAACUGGACUAUACUUCUUCUACUCUAAUGGUCCUGCUUCUUACAGCUUAGAGUUCUUUCUCAUUUUCACAGCCUCUCAAAGAAAAUCAUAUUUACUGAAAGUGGAGAGUGAGGUUGUGCUCUCUGGGGUUGUAAUGAAAAGUCAACUAAAUGCUCUCAUUCUACAGGAAGGACUUUGGUGCUGUACUCUUUACUCUUUAAAAAGCUCCACUUCAACAACAUAUUGCUGAACUGAAUCAAAUGAGAUUUGCAGCAAAACCGUCACAAUAUUAAAAGGAAGGUUGCUAAAGGAACAUACCCUCUAAUUAAUUCUACAAACAAACCAAACCAAACCAAAACAGAGAGUAUCAAAGAAGGCAUGGAAAGUUAUUAAUAACUUUUAAGCUCCCUUCUAAUGACAAGUUAGAAUAGCCUAUCUUUACAAAACAACAGAAAAAUUAAGGUCAUAACUUUAGAAAUGUAGUGUUCAGAAAAUUUUAAAUCAGAAUACUUAGAUAAAUAAACGCAUGUGUAGAAAGUAAAGUCAGUAACCCCUUAGAAUGGUCUAAUUUUGACUACUGAAGAGGUGAAUCUAUAUUAUAAAACUCAAGUUAUACAGUAAAAGUCAACGCCCUGUCUUUAUAGACACACAACCAGGAAGUUUUCCCAUGACUUAUUAGAAAAAACAAGUGCAAAUACUUUAUGAUGGUUCAACCAAAUAUAGUUCCACAGAAAUUAAGACAUAUAUUGCUACUAUAGAAGGUGAUAUUCAGGUCAUCUAACAAAGGCUCUAGGCCCGUGUCCAACAAAAACAACACUCAGGUUUUCUUAAAACCAGUAAGAACUAGAUUUACUGAAGUGCUAUAGUGAACAUUAUUUUCAAAUCUCUUAAUCUGUGUAAGAAAAUACUGAUCACAUAUCUUUGGGCUUAGAUUUGAAUAAACUUGAGUUUAAGUGUUGCUACUGUAAUCAGUCUGCUUUUAUUUACAAAGAUACAUCUGGGUAGGUUAUUCAGUACUAAUCAGUACUUUGUCAAUAGCAAAGUACCUGGAAGCUUAGUGUAAAUCUCAUGCAGAUGUAUCACUGUGUUA